rnacentral:rRNA from 1 species
UACGUAGGUGGUUUAUUAAGUUAGGUGUGAAAUCCCCGGGCUUAACCUGGGAAUUGCGCUUGAUACUGGUAAGCUAGAGUAUUGUAGAGGAAAGUGGAAUUUCCGGUGUAGCGGUGAAAUGCGUAGAUAUCGGAAGGAACACCAGUGGCGAAGGCGACUUUCUGGACAGAUACUGACACUGAGGUACGAAAGCGUGGGGAGCAAACA